GUGCCAGCCGCCGCGGUAAUACGGAAGGGGCGAGCGUUGCUCGGAAUCACUGGGCGUAAAGGGCGUGUAGGCGGUCUCGUAUGUCUGCCGUGAAAGCCCACGGCUCAACCGUGGAAGGUCGGUAGAAACCGCGAGACUUGAGGCUGGGAGGGGCCGGUGGAAUUCCCUGUGUAGCGGUGAAAUGCGUAGAGAUAGGGGAGAACACUCGUGGCGAAGGCGGCCGGCUGGACCAGUCCUGACGCUGAGGCGCGAAAGCGUGGGGAGCAAACAGGAUUAGAUACCCUGGUAGUCCACGCCCUAAACGAUGGGCACUAGGUGUCGGCGGUGUCAAGCCGUCGGUGCCGUAGCUAACGCAUUAAGUGCCCCGCCUGGGAAGUACGGUCGCAAGGCUGAAACUCAAAUGAAUUGACGGGG
rnacentral:rRNA from 1 species